rnacentral:rRNA from 1 species
AGAGUUUGAUCAUGGCUCAGACGAACGCUGCGGCGUGAUAGACAUGCAAGUCGAACGCUGACUUCAGGGUAGCAAUAUUCUGAAGUCGGAGUGGCGCAAGGGUGCGUAACACGUGGGUAAUCUGCCGUGAAGUUGGGGAUAACUUGCUGAAAGGCGAGCUAAUACCGAAUGUGAAAAUUAGGAGGCAUCUCUCGAUUUUCAAAGUUGGGGACCGUAAGGCCUGACGCUUCACGAUGAGCCCGCGGCCUAUCAGCUAGUUGGUGAGGUAACGGCUCACCAAGGCUAAGACGGGUAGCUGGUCUGAGAGGACGACCAGCUUCACUGGAACUGAGACACGGUCCAGACACCUACGGGUGGCAGCAGUCGAGAAUUUUUCACAAUGGGCGAAAGCCUGAUGGAGCGACGCCGCGUGGGGGAUGAAGGGCUUCGGCCCGUAAACCCCUGUCAUUUGCGAACAAACCUUUCCACUUAACACGUGGAGAGCUGAUUGUAGCGAAAGAGGAAGGGACGGCUAACUCUGUGCCAGCAGCCGCGGUA